UUCCCGCUUCGGGUGUCUGCUUGACAAAACUUGAAGGCACUAUAAUAAGUAGUGACUGCCUUUGAAGGCAUCCAAAAUGGUAGGCUACUGCUCGAUGCCGCAGCGCCGGACGUACGCAACGAAGCCCGGUGUCGGCCUUCACACGUAGCCGUAAGCCAAGAAGCUGCGUG
rnacentral:lncRNA from 1 species